GAUGCAACGCGAAGAACCUUACCUACUCUUGACAUCCAGAGAAGCCAGCGGAGACGCAGGUGUGCCUUCGGGAACUCUGAGACAGGUGCUGCAUGGCUGUCGUCAGCUCGUGUUGUGAAAUGUUGGGUUAAGUCCCGCAACGAGCGCAACCCUUAUCCUUGUUUGCCAGCGAGUAAUGUCGGGAACUCCAGGGAGACUGCCGGUGAUAAACCGGAGGAAGGUGGGGACGACGUCAAGUCAUCAUGGCCCUUACGAGUAGGGCUACACACGUGCUACAAUGGCGCAUACAGAGGGCAGCAAGCUAGCGAUAGUGAGCGAAUCCCAAAAAGUGCGUCGUAGUCCGGAUUGGAGUCUGCAACUCGACUCCAUGAAGUCGGAAUCGCUAGUAAUCG
rnacentral:rRNA from 1 species